rnacentral:rRNA from 1 species
AUUGAACGCUGGCGGCAGGCCUAACACAUGCAAGUCGAACGGUAACGCGGGGCAACCUGGCGACGAGUGGCGAACGGGUGAGUAAUGCAUCGGAACGUGCCCAGUAGUGGGGGAUAACUGCUCGAAAGAGCAGCUAAUACCGCAUACGACCUGAGGGUGAAAGCGGGGGAUCGCAAGACCUCGCGCUAUUGGAGCUGCCGAUGUGAGAUUAGGUAGUUGGUGGGGGAAAGGCCCACCAAGCCAACGAUCUGUAGCUGGUCUGAGAGGACGACCAGCCACCCUGGGACUGCGACACGGCCCAGACUCCUACGGGAGGCAGCAGUGGGGAAUUUUGGACAAUGGCCGCAAGUCUGAUCCAGCCAUGCCGCGUGCGGGAAGAAGGCCUUCGGGUUGUAAACCGCUUUUGUCAGGGAAGAAACGCUCCGGGUUAAUACCUCGGGGUAAUGACGGUACCUGAAGAAUAAUCGCCGGCUAACUACGUGCUAGCAGCCGCAGUAACAC